rnacentral:misc_RNA from 1 species
UCGCCCCAUUGCUGCUCCAUCCUAUUAUUCCCUUAAUUUAUUAAAAAAGAAAAACAAGAAAUAAGCCCCAUGCUGCUGUGAUUGGGCUCUGCGACGAAAGAAGAGGAGAAAGAUGAAAAGAGAUCACCAAGAAAGUUGCGGUGUUGGCGGUGGCAUUGCUGGGUAUGAUACUAAAUCUGGUAAUAAUAAAGGCGAAUCUUCGUCGUCAAUGGGGAAAGGAAAAUUAUGGGAAGAAGAGCAAGACCCUGGAGGUAUGGAUGAAUUGCUUGCUGUUUUGGGUUACAAGGUCCGGUCAUCGGACAUGGCAGAUGUUGCCCAGAAGCUUGAACAGCUUGAGAUGGUAAUGGGUACUGCCCAAGAAGAUGGGAUUUCGUAUCUUUGUUCUGAUACUGUACAUUAUAAUCCCUCAGAUCUCUCUGGUUGGGUUCAGAGUAUGCUGUCUGAGCUUAAUCCACCCAUGUGUCUUGACGCCUCUGGUAUGCUUCAAAAUCAACACGAUCCUGUUCUUGGUUCUUCCACAGUUACUUUCUCUAAUCCUCUAUCGCACAAAUCGGAAAUUUUUAGUGGUGAUUAUGAUUGCGAUCUUAGAGCAAUACCUGGUGUGGCUGCUUAUCCACAACCGGAUUCAAUAUCAGAAAGGGAAAAUAGCAGGAAGAGAAUGAAAACCUCACCUGGUUCUGAUACCAGUAAUGCUACCACCUCCAAUUCAAAUUCUACGCCGCCUCUCUUAGCUGAUGCUUCUUCUUCUUCGUUGUCAUCUUCCUCACCGCCAUCAACAAUUAUGAUUUCAGGCAAUUUAUCGGAGCCAAGUCGGCCGGUUGUCUUAAUUGACUCGCAAGAGACGGGAGUCCGUCUCGUACACACACUAUUGGCUUGUUUA